rnacentral:rRNA from 1 species
CCUACGGGAGGCAGCAGUGAGGAAUAUUGGUCAAUGGGCGCGAGCCUGAACCAGCCAAGUCGCGUGAGGGAAGACGGUCCUAUGGAUUGUAAACCUCUUUUGUCGGGGAGCAAAGCGAGUCACGUGUGACUCAUUGAGAGUACCCGAAGAAAAAGCAUAGGCUAACUCCGUGCCAGAAGCCGCGGUAAUACGGAGGAUGCGAGCGUUAUCCGGAUUUAUUGGGUUUAAAGGGUGCGCAGGCGGAGGUGCAAGUCAGCGGUCAAAUUGCGGGGCUCAACCCCGUAAUGCCGUUGAACGUGCAUCCCUUGAGUGCGCGAGAAGUAUGCGGAAUGCGUGGUGUAGCGGUGAAAUGCAUAGAUAUCACGCAGAACUCCGAUUGCGAAGGCAGCAUACCGGCGCGCAACUGACGCUCAUGCACGAAAGCGUGGGUAUCGAACAGGAUUAGAUACCCGGGUAGUC